rnacentral:rRNA from 1 species
UAGGGAAUCUUCCGCAAUGGACGCAAGUCUGACGGAGCAACGCCGCGUGAGUGAAGAAGGAUUUCGGUUCGUAAAACUCUGUUGUUAGAGAAGAACAGCGCAUAGAGUAACUGGUAUGAGUGUGACGGUAUCUAACCAGAAAGCCACGGCUAACUACGUGCCAGCAGCCGCGGUAAUACGUAGGUGGCAAGCGUUGUCCGGAUUUAUUGGGCGUAAAGCGAGCGCAGGCGGUCAAUUAAGUCUGAUGUGAAAGCCCCCGGCUCAACCGGGGAGGGUCAUUGGAAACUGGUUGACUUGAGUGCAGAAGGGGAGAGUGGAAUUCCAUGUGUAACGGUGAAAUGCGUAGAUAUAUGGAGGAACACCAGUGGCGAAGGCGUCUCUCUGGUCUGUAACUGACGCUGAGGCUCGAAAGCGUGGGUAGCAAACAGG